AUGGAGACCGCGCUGCAGCUCUCCGACCGGUGGCAGAUCACCGCCGCGCCGAUGCUCCGCUGGCUAAGCAAGCUGAAUCGCGCCGCCCAGGAGUGCGGCGACACGCUGCGCCACUGCAGGCAGCGCCAGCGCGCCCUUGAAGACUCAAAGUUCAUGCUGCGCCUCUCCGAGAGCAGCGACGUGCUCGGGAUCAUAGCGAGGUGCAUGCAGGCGGUGACGCCGCACCUCAAGGUGGCCGCGGAUGGCCUCAAGAGGGAGCUCGUCCAGCUUCCAACCCAGGAUUUCUCCUGGGUGGAGAGCUCCCCCUUCAGAGAGACAGAGUACUGGGUCGAUAUACACAGGACCUUGACCCAAUGUCUUCGUCCAGACCCGCUCUGUUGCGGCGGCCAUGAUGAUCCCAUCGUCCCUUCUACUUGUAACAGCAGCAAGACCGACAAACAAUCAUCGUUGUCACCAUCAAAGACGAGCUUUGCUUUCGAGGUGAUCGACGGGAAGGAGCAAGAAACGGUCCAUCGAAAUGCGACCUUGCAAGACGUAGACGAGAAGCUGCUCCGCAAGGCCAUGGAUCACCUCUACCGGAGCUCCGAAUCCAGGAUGUAUCAGCUGUGCCUGAGGUCCAGCCAUGGCACCGCGCAACUCUGCGUGGAGAAGACGACGCCUGCAACGCGUGUGCCGAGUAAAGGAACCGCCGCAUCACGGUUGCAGAUCAAUGGAAGCAAAAGGGUGGUGGAUCGGAAACGAGAGGAUUACAGAAUAAAGGGAUGGCAGGAUGCGUCGAGGGACCUGCUCAAGCUAUGGGUCGUGCGUGCGUCUGACAAGCUCUGCAUGGCUCACUCAGCUCCUGGACUGUCAACUUUGAUUUAA
rnacentral:rRNA from 1 species